AAUCAGUGACUCUGAGCUGCUCUAUUAAGAUCUUUUGUCCAUUUCAUCCACCAUCUCUCACAUGGAGCUUCAGUCCUGAACUCCUCAUCAAUGCAAACAUCACAGAACAGCAGCAUCAAAGCCAAACACAUUACUACUCUGAUCUGAUGUUCACUGUAACUCAUCAUCAUCACAGAGCUGAAUUCACCUGCACUGCAACACAGCAGCAGAUCACAACACACAGCACCCGACAGCUACAUGUUCAGUAUGCUCCUAAAAGUGUCUCUGCUCAUGUGAGUCCAGCUGGUGUGAUUGUGGAGGGUCAUUCAGUGACUCUGAGCUGCAGCAGUGAAGCAAACCCAGCAGUCAAAUACAGCUGGUACAGACACACUGAAGAAGACCUGAAACUACUGACUGGACCAAACCUGAUCAUCAGCAACACAAAUAUGACCAUCAGACACACCAACCUGACAAUCAGCAACCAAAACAUGAGCAAAAUAAAUUUGACUGGACCAAACCUGACCAUCAGCAAUGUCAACCCGGCCCACAGAGGACGAUACUACUGUAGAGCUGAAAACCAACACGGGACUCAGAACACAUCAGUGCUGCUGGACGUCCAGUUUCCACCCAAAAUCUCCAGCUCUUGUAGCCAAAACGACACACUCGUCUGCAUCUGUAAGGUUGACGGGAAUCCUCUGCCUAAACUACAGUGGCGUCUGUCUGGAAAUGUUCUCAAUUCCACUGAAGAAAUGCAGAUAAGUGAGCAAACUGUAGGAAACAAGAGCUUGGAGAGCAUCCUGAGCAUCCGCCAGUCUCUCUCAGACUCAUCAGUCCUGCAGUGUUGGACUGCAAACGCUCACGGAUCCGCCAGCCACCAGUUUCAGCACAUCACAACAACACCAGACACAGGUCUCCAUCCUGCAUGUUUGCUGCUGGGAUUUUCUGUAGGAGCAUCACUCGUCCUGAUCUUCUGUGUUCUGACCGUCUGCAAUGAACGAAAAAAGUCUAGAAAACUUUCAGAAAGCAGACAAGACAACGCUUCUGAACUCAUUCGGACUGAAAGCAAAACCUUGCUGUCGUCCACAUUGAUCACGUC
ensembl:processed_transcript